GAGAAACUCUAUAAAGAAUUGUCCAGUUCCGGUUCAAGAUGGUGGCCUCAGAGGGUCUGGGCUCUGCUCCUCCUGUUAGAGUCUACAGAUAAAUGUGGAAGAAGUUUCCCUGGAAAAAACCUAAAAAACUCUCUGAGUGACUCCUGUGCAUCCUGUCCGAAGGAGAGAGGCCCACACGAAAGCAGUUCUGGAACUCACCAGUAUAUCUUGAGCUGGACAGAACAUGCACUAUGAAUGCCAGCUUACAGAAGAGGAAAAAAUAAGGACUCAGCAUGUUCUUUGACUUUGCUUGGUUCUCAACAGCCUGACUUCUUCAUGGCCACACAUCUGAUUCAACAAGUUGAGAUUCAACAAGUUGAAGCCUAUGGUAUAAUUUCACAGAGCUGUUGCAUGGUACAGCCUGAUUCUCACCUAGUUCUUUGGUCUUAAAAUCUUCACUUACUUCAACUAAUAUUCUUUCAAAGCCUUAUUAUAAUGCCACUAUCAACUGGUAGCAGAAACACUGUUGUACACAGCAAUGGUGAAGGGCAGAGUUUGUAAGAAAAUGAGAAUUGAGAUUGAAAUCUGGUUCUGCUAUUAAUCGGCUGUAAAAUCUUGGGCAAUUCAAUUAACUUCACUGGACUUCAGUUUCAAGUGUAUGAUGGGGGUUUUGUUAGUACUAAUUGAGUUAAUGUAGUACAACUCUUUCAUGGUGGUUUUCACAUAUUAAAUGCUCAAAUAGUAAAACUAUUUGCAUCGUUGUUAUUAGAAUUUGAGUCAGUAUCCCAUUGAAAGCUUUUUGAUGACAAAGAUUUGUUCUUGUCUCUCUAGGACUUUGAGUUCAAUAAUAGAUACUUUUCUUCUGGGUUUAGUUCAUUCAUUUAAUAUAGAUUGACCAAGCACAUACUAAGUUCGUUGAACAAUAUUAGAUAUCAGGGAUAGAUAGAUAUACAAUUUGCUUCCACCAUUAAAUCUUAUUUAAAGUACAUACUAUCAGUAGCAUUUAGCAACAAAGAGACAGGGAAGAAUAACAACAACAACAACAAAAAAUCUGUAAAAAUAACUGAUUGAAUAAAUAAGUAAAUUGGAGAUAAUAGACAUAUCUUCAAUGCAGAAGAAUUCAAAAUAAUUUGUGUACGAGAUGACUGGGGGACUCAGCUGGUUAAGCAUUCGACUUCAGCUCCGUCAAGAUCUCAUAGUGCAAGAGUUUGAGCCCAGCAUCAGGUUUCCUGCUGUCAUCACAGAGCCUGCCUUGGAUCCCCUCUCUCUCCCUCUGUCCCUCUCUCUCUCCCCACCCCAGCUGCUCUUGUGCAUGUGCACACAUGCACACUUUCUCUCUCAAAACAGAAAAAUUUGUAUACAUACUCCAGGGUGAUAAAGCAUAACUCCUAACUCCUCAAGUGUGUAGUUGCAGAAAGUACAAUGUUAAAAGGGGAGGAAAGAACCUCACCAUGAAGAAACUUAGCACAGCCAGGUGAUGAAAAUUAACAUCAGUGGUGAUAAAUCAUGUGGCUGGCAUGCACUCUUCACAUGAUGUGAUAAGAAUGAUGCUUUACCCUUGUGGCCUUCCACCUCAGAACCCACAAUUCCACUUGAAUCAUGAAUUGCCAUUUCACCUAAUCUUGAAAACAUCAGACAAAUCCCAAAUGAAGAACACUCUACAAAAUUCCUGACCAGUACCAAAAACUGCCAAGGCCAGAAACAAAGUCUGAGCAACUGUUCCUGACAAGAUGAGCCUAAGUAGAUAUGGUGACCAAAUAUAAUAGGGUAUCCUUAAAUGGAUUCCGGAACACUUACAACAAGACAAAACAAAAAGAUGUUAGGUGAAAACUAAAAGAAUCCGAAUAAAAUAUGGUCUUCAGUUAUUUUUAAAUGAGAUACUAUUAACUAUGAAUAUGGCUAAAACUAAAAAGAAUGAUAGUGCGAAGUAUUGGUGAGUAUGUGGAGCAACUGUAGCCCUUAUAAAUUAUUGGUAGGGUGUAAAAUGGUACAGCCACCUUGCAAAUAGGUUUUUGGUUCUUACAAAGCUGAAUGCAUAUUGGCCAUGAGACCCAGAUACUCAUAUUCUCUAUAUCUCAAAUAAAUGAAAUACUGUGUCCACACAAAUCUUUGUACAUGAGUGUGUAUAGCAGCCUUUUUUUGUAAUGGUCAAAAAACUGAAAAUCCAAAUGUCCCUUUGCAGGUGAAUGAAUAGACAGAUUCUUGUAUUUCCUACAAUAGAAUACUCUUACACAAAGGAACAAACUAAUGAUGUGUGCAAAAACAUGGAUGAAUCUCAAAAACGUUAUGCUGAGUGAAAGCAGAAAAAAAUGUACAUUGUAUAUGAUUCCAUUUAUAUAAUUGCAUUCUAGAAAAUGCAAACUAAGAUAGAAUAGAUGAAAGUAACAAUGGAUUACAGAGGGCACAGGAAACCUUUUGAAUGUGAUGGAAAUAUUUGUUACAUGUGAUUGUGGUGAUGGUUUUACAGCUACAUAUACAGCCUAUUGUAUAUGUAACUUAUUGUAUGUCAUAUAUUCCUGAUUAUGUUGUGGCUACAUAUACAGCUUAUUAUAUACACAACUUGUCCUAUGUCAUCUGUUCCUCACAGUUGGUCAAAAAAAAUGAGAAACGCUUUAAAAAACAUGUUCCCUACUCUAUCAUCAAUCAUGUCUAAUGCUGCAAGCAACAUAUAGCCCAAUCAAUAUGAUAGUUUGAAAAGUAAUCCAUUUUAUUUUUAAUGAAAUAUUAAGAGGAAGCCAUAUACAUACACCAGAUUUAGAUGAAGUUGUUCUUCUUUAGUGAGGUUGGAUGUUCCUGAAGCCCUGUACUCUUACUGGUCCCUACUUUCCACCACAGUCCUAGCUGUCCUUCAUUGCCCCCCACAGAACCUGGACUACUAUUAAAUGAACAUCUGGCUCCAUGUUUUAUUCUAAGCUGUGCCUUUGCAGGUCUGAUUAUGCCAAUAAGUGACCAUAGCAACCUCAGCUGUGACAGUAAAUCACAAUUGACUUGGAUAAGUCAUUUCAUUUCUCUGGAUCUCAA